GCCAGCUGGUGGUUGGUGGGUGUCCCGAGACAGGGCUGUGCCCUGCCAGCAGGGUUGCCCCGAUGGAGGCGUGCAUGUGGAAGCCGCGAGCCUGGAGAAUGGCUGUGCCAUUGGGUCUCCUGCUCUUGGCUUUGUACUCUUCAGCAGGCAGCCGCCAGGCCCGAAGGCCGGCUCCUUCCUGGAUGAGCAGGCGAGGAUGGCAGCGUUGUCUUUGGAGCCAGGGGACCAGUGUGAGCAGCAUCCCAGGGCUUGUCGGGGCUGGGCUGGGCAGGGCAGUGCGAGGGGCUGGUGGAGGGUGGGCGGCAGAUGCGGGCGAGGCCAGCAGUCCAGAAGGGCUCUGGCGUCCCAGGGAUGGGACAGCUCUGGCUAGGAAGGUCUCUUGGACGUCCUGCACAGGGGCCCAGCUGGUCCUCCGCGGCCCAGAGAGACCGAAAGCCAGGGGACGGGUCCUAGAGGCCCCCCGAGGGAUGGCGAGGCCUCGUUGGGUGGGGCGGGCCCCUUGGGUUGCCCAGUGGCCGUGCGGGGAGGAAUGCCUGACUCCACGGGCCAUGGCGAAGGAAGAGAAGGUCCCCCUUUUCUGGAUCGAUGAUGAUCAAUGCCAGCGUAUGAGGCAUCGAUGACGAAUAAUGUGUGUCUGGAACUCUGAGGUCCACUCGCAAGGAAACGGGGCCUUUCUCUUCCUGCCUUUCCAUCCUCGAGCCCAACGGGGCAGCGCCGACCGCCCGAGGAGCCCAGUCGAUGGCGUCUCACUGUGGGUGUCACCUUGUCUCUUGGGUCCCUUGUAGGGUGGAAGCCGAAGGCCGGGCCAGGCUGCGUGGGGCCGAGACCCCUCCUCUGGCGGUGGUGGCAGGAGAGAUCCCAAGAGUGUGUACCCCUCAGAGCAAUUGCACUGGAGAUGCUUUACCAUCUUCCGUACGGACCCGAGCUCUGGGAUUGCCUCUGAACAUACGUGUUAGGACAUGGGAGAGUCACGUGAGUAACCGUUGAGAUUCCUUCCUCAGUUCAUUUGGAUUUAAACAAUCAAGCAAUAGAAAGCCAUGUAGAGAAACAGGAGCACUGUUGUAUCAAUGAUGACUUCCCGUGGCGUUAUGAGUGCUAUGUGAUGAGUACCUGCCUGGAACUCUGAGGUCCAGUGUGGAUGGAGUCUGUUCCAUCGUCCUGUUUGAAGUGGUCCUACAGGCAGAGGUUAGGAAUGAAAAAGGAUGUUCGUAUUGGUGAUCCUGACCGUGCAUUUUUAUCCUAUUUGCAUAGUAGAUCAACGAAAGAGUCAGUAGACAGGUGUGUAACUUUAAAAAUAUGAUGAAGGUGAUGCCUUUUCUCAUUAUAAAAACGUGUCUCUAGGCAGAAAUUAUUAUCUUAUACUAAGAUAUUAAUACAUAUUGAAAAGACUGAUAAUCAUUGUGAGAAAAGCGGUAUUAAUAUGCUAUCUCUUUGGCUAAGGGUGAUGUAGAAAGUGACAGGUAAUUGUAAUUAACUCAGUCAGUUAACAGUUUGACAUUUGAUUAUUGAGGGCAAACGAAAUAAAUAUUGCGAUGAGGAUAUGACUCCACUACUGUGCAAAUGGAUAGUGGAAGAUUUGGAUCAAGGGAGAGACUAUCUCAAUAUUUUUAAAACCUUGUCUGCUUGUCGUUGUUCAGAGGACAUGCUCCCGCUCUUUCGGCUUCUGCUGAGCUCAAGAUUGUCAGGCCGCCUCCGCGCCAGCAAAGAAGCGAAGGUGACCGUGGGGCAGGUUGUUGUUGGGUCGGGUGGUCUGUUUGCGGGUACUCAGGGUACUAUUAGAAAGCGUGGAAUGAAUCUGAAAGGUACUCGUCAUUCCACGCGAGAGGGGCUGCGCCUCACUGUCUGCUGAGGGAUGAUGGGCAGGACUGAGGUGGGAGAGUGGAAGAGAGAGCCCCUCGGUGGGAAAGGACGCUACAGACUGAGCUUAGGGAUGUUGGCGGACCUUGUUCUGGGGGGACGUCGCGAACCCUGUAUUGUAUUGACGCUUCUCAAUGAAGUAAUGAUAGCAUCGAUACCAGUACGGAAAUGAACGAGGCGCAGAGACUCGGUCAUGGACCAGUGAUGAGGGUCGUGACGGGAGGAGUCCUGAACGAUGACAACAUCUGAAACUCUGAGGUCCAACCCAGCGCCCGAGUCGCCUCUUGCCUCGGGUGUCACUGUGCCUGUAGAGCGAUGUCAGGAAUACGGAGACAUCACCUCCUUGUGUUAUUUCACAGACUUAGAUUUGCUGCUCUGACUAGAGCUGUGUUAGAGCCAUCAAGCCAGCAUAAGCUAACAUGUAAGGAAACACAGGGUGAUGCAGUGUCCAAGUAGGAACAUAUCUCGUGGGGGAAAGAGACUGUCCGUAAACCCUGAAAGCAGGGAUGCUCAUUAAGUAAAUGGGGCAGGGCCACCUCUCUGACCGAGGUUAGAUCGAAAAGCAGAAGUAAGGGUCACUUUAACUGUUCUGCCUCAGACGAAUGGUUGAGUUUCUUAACAAGAAAAAUAUCUUGAGAAAGAAAAAAAAUAAAUGUCUACAUACUGAGUACAUGAAAUUUAGAAAGCAGUGAUCACUGGUGAUUAGAUCUCAAUAUCUUAGUAUCUUUAUCAUCUCCUCUGUGCUCCUUGGAACGACGAGAGGGGCUUUGGCGUCUUCCAUGGGCACCAGCUCUGUGGUUGUCCCUGUGUAGUGGGGGGAUGGAGAAUAAUGUGAGUAAUAGCUGAAGUUCUGUUCUCAGCUUUUUUAUUAUUAAAUUACUUACAGUAUUACUAAGAAAUGUGAAAUGUAUGUACGGGAGGCAGCUGCACUUAGUGUUGCGUAUAGAUAUAUGAAACAUUGAAAAUGCAUAUCUGGAAACAGAGUAUUAAAGGGAGGUGUAUAUUUAAGUAAGAAUAAUUUUGUAUCCCUCAAUGUUUUUCUAGUUUUUUUUUUUAAAUUGUAUUGCUUAAAAAUUAAUCGUGAAUUUUGAUAUAUUCAAUACAAAUAGAAAAGGUACGUAUAAAACGAGAAAUAAUAUUGCAUCAAUGAUUCCUUCUAGUCUCUGAGUGAUAUAUGAUGACUACCCGUGUGGAACUCUGAGAUUCAACAUAAAAUUUUUUUUUUCUUGCCUCUAUAAUGUUUUAUUUUUAUUAUUUUUUUUAUUUUCCCACUGUACAGCAAGGGGGUCAGAUUAUCCUUAGAUGUAUACAUUGCAGUUACAGUUUUUUCCCCCACCAACAUAAAAUUAAUCUAGCCCGUUCUCAACUUGUGAAGGCAUCCUAUAGACAGAUAUCAGGAAUAAAUGAGGGGCUUGUUUUUCUUUGUUGUUUUCAUGGAUUUCGUUUCUAUUAUUAUCCUUGUGUAAUAUAAGAAUCUGUAAAUAUAUAAUUAAAAACAAAAAUUAAUGGAGUAAAUGAUUUCCAGUUACUGAAAUGUUUGUUGAGACAAGAAAUACAGUUGAUAGACCAUGGCACCCUGAAGUUCGAUUAGAAAUUAAUGGGGUCCCUGAUGCUUACUGCUUAUGGGUAAGGAUGAAACGGCCAGGAUCAGUUACAGACAACCAUCGUAUUCUGGCUCAGUGGCAAGACCAGAGUUGCUGUUCUUCUUAACAGACUAAGUAUAUGUAGUAAAUUAAUGAUUUUCUUUUUGAAUUUUGGAGCAGGGAUUAGCAGAGAGACUGUGUUUUUUUUUUACCAUCCUCUUUGCUUUCUAUUGCUCAGGAGGGUGCACCGGACCUGAAUGCAGCUUUCUUCCUUGAUGAGCAGGUGAGGAUGGCAUCAUUAUCUUUGGACUCAGGAGACCAGUGUGAGCAGCAUCCCCUUCCUGGUAUUGGUUUCGGUGGUCCAUCUAAGGGUAUUUACUGCAUUAAUAAAAUGUUUGAAAUAGAAGUAAGGCAGUCCAUUUUUAUCCUGUUGCUAUAAAGAGAUUAAUAUGACCCAUCAUACUGAUUAAUGCACAUUUGAAAAACCAGUCAUGAUUGUGGCAGAGGUAGAAUGAUGUGACAAUGGUUCUGUACACAUAGUGGGUAUAGCAAGGGCUUUUUGGGUUUUGUGAAUCAUAGAGUUAUAAAUUAUAACCAGCGAAUCAAUGAAUUGAUCGGUCAGCAAUAUAGAAUGAAGGGACAGCGAUCUUUUCUGGACCAGUGAUGAUGAAAGCCGGCGUGUGAGUCAGCGACGAUGAGCAUGAGUAGUAGUGUCUGGAACUCUGAGGUCCAGGGGAAGAAAUGCGGCUUUUCUCUUCAUGCGAUUUCAUUCUUGAUUCUAACUGGACCAACGAAAGACUCCGUAGCCAAAUGUGGAUCAAUGGGGAAAAAGUCUCUGUCUCUUCAUCACCUUCUCUGUUGGGUACUUUUCAGGACAGGAGCUCAAAGGGAUGUUGGCCUCCGCUGGGAUGAAGGCUCUCCUCUUGGAGUUGUUCUAGGAGAGACCAAGGUGAGUCAGGGCCAAGUUCCUGUCUUGGUUUGGGUGGUUGGUUUAGGGUUUUGCUGCAUUGUUAAAGCAAUGAAUAUGAUCAAAAGGUUAAGGAUGGCCCAUUGAUAAAUAUGACAUGAAAUCUUACGUUAAAGAAGUGAUAAUAUGUAACGUUGUUGGUCAUUAAUGAAAGAUUUAUAAUCCACUUUGGUAAUAAUUGGAGGAGAAAUUGGGGAUAUUUUAGGGUAUUGUUCUUUUAUUUUGGUGAAUUAUAUUUUUAUUUUAUUAUUAUCAAUAAAGUAGUGAUUUAAUUGAUAUAAAUAUACACUUGAAUGAACUAAAAGUGGGCUCAAAUCUACCAGUGAUGAGGACUGGUAGAGGACGAGUCAUGGACAGUGCAUAAGGAGUGUCUGGAACCCCGAGGUCCAACAUAAUACAUACUAUAUUGUCUAUGUUUAUUUGAUCCUAUGGACAGACGUUAGAAAUGCGUAAACUCAGGCCCGCUUUAUGGGUUAAUAGAUUUCAAUUUAACAUCGUUAAUGGUUCAAUAAUAGAACCAUUAUAUUUAAGUAAUAGACUUAAGAAGAAAGGGUAAAUUAUUAUCUACCUAUGUACGUAUAUGGUCAGGCAAGAAGUAGUAUUGAAAAUCGUGGAAUUCCCAUUGUGGCUUAGCAGGUGAAGACCUGACCUCGUCUCUAUCAGGAUACCAGUUUGGUCCUUGGCCUCACUCAGUGGCUUAAGGAUUCUGCAUUGUCACAAGCUGCAGUGUAGAUCACAAAUGUGGCUUGAAUUUGAUGCUGCUGUGGCUGUGGCUUAGGCCUCCGUCGUAGCACCGAUUUGAUACCUAGCCUGGGAACUUCCAUAUGCCAUGGGUAUGGCUAUAAUCUAAUCACUUGUGAUGGAAUAUGGUGGAGGAUAACGUGAAAAAAAGAAUGUGUAUGUUUAUAUACACUGUGCUGUACAGCAGAAAUUGACAGAACACUGUUUUUUGGGGGUUUUGUUGUUGUUGUUUUUUGUUUUUUGUUUGUUUUUUAGUGCUACCCCCACAGCAUCAUAGCAUAGGGAAGCUUCCAGGUUAGGGGUCGAAUCAGAACUGCAGCUGUUGGCCUACGCCACAGCCACAGUAAUGUGGGAUCAAAGCUGCAUCUGUGGCCUACACUGCAAUGCCAGAUCCCUGACCCACUGAGUGAGGCCAAAUGUCGAACCUGCAGCCUCAUAGGUACCAGUCAGAUUCAUUUCUGCUGCGCUACAGCAGAAACUCCUAACAGAACGUUGUAAACCAGCUGUAAUAAAAAAAA
rnacentral:lncRNA from 1 species